GGCAGCUGGUGUUAACAGCUUCACGAGAGCCCAACCUAUGGAUAUGGAUACCAAAAAAUUAGGUGGGAAGAUGGAGUUGACAAAGAGGAGCCUGUCACUAAAGAAUAUACAUGUCUUUUGUGCCAAAGGAGCCACCAGAAAAAUUGCUACAGAAAUCAGUACCUUUCCAGACCCUGCUUCUACACUCAUACUUUAAGAAUGCCAACUUCAAGGCUCAAAGAAAAGCCAGGGAUUUCAGUACCUGUGAUGUCAACAGCAGAACUGUCUGUCCUCUGAGGGCUGUGGCAAGCGUGGAAUGAGACAGCGAAUGUGACACACUUUGUGAACUAUGAGGCAUAAGAAAUGUGGAUGAUGAUGAGGCUGGUGAUGGGGAAGGAGCUGAUGGUCUUAAUGAGAGUGAUGUGGACCAGUCUGUUAGUCCUGAAAAGAUGGCCCACUGACUGCUUAUUUUCUAACGGUGAAGUUUUCUUGAGACAGCUACGUAGUUGAGAGAAGCUGUGGGCUGAGACUGGACACCAUGUUGAAGACUUUUUCCUGCAGAGAACCAUUCCAUCUCCCUGUUACUGGUUGAUACAUCUCUGACCCAGACAACUAUGGACAAGAUAAAAUCUCAGCUCUUCAGGAUCAGGGUAGGAGGUCAGAGGCAAAAAACUCCAUACGCCUGUCUGUAUCCCAACCAUGAGCUGUCUCCUUGGACAAGCACAGAGCAGCGAAUGGCCAUGGGCUUGCCCAUUGGGUCGUCUCAGUCUUGUGGAAUUCGAUCCGUGACAUAACUGUGCCAGGUCCUGCCACCAACAAAAACUCUCUUUAGAAGUACAUGGGGAUGUUCUGAGAACUCCUACAAUUUGCUAUGGGACCACAGAUAAUGUCUUAUCUACCUUCAUCACAACACUUGAACCUCGAUUCUUUGAUGAUAGCUUUAUCACAAGAUUUUGCUUUUAAUCUCUGGAAACUUUCCCAAACUGCUGAGUUUCAUCUUGCUGUCUUCAACUUGCCCUGGCCCAGUAGUGAUUGGUGUCUGGUGCUUCUAUUAGGGCAGAUUUUCUCAUGAAUUGAAGUCUUUUGAA